rnacentral:lncRNA from 1 species
AAAAACAAUACUACAUGGAGAUUAGAAAAGUGAUGUUUCUCUAUUAUCAACUCAACCGCUUUGCUUCUCAUGUUUCUUUCAGAACUAACGAAGUUUGGAAUAGAUGUUCUAAUGAAGUUGAAAGUCUUUCAUCAUCUGAAUAUUAAAUUCUCUUGAUGGAACAUUUGUUAUAAAAAUACUGGUUUAGUAUAUGGUGUACCGUAACAUUAUGGUUUAUUACUAUUCCAUUUACAUAAAUUAAAAUUUAAUCAUCCACGAAAGUAUAGUCUUUUGUUUCUUGUUUUUAUUUCUUUGACCCAAAUAAGGAUUCUUUUAACCUCAGCUUUCAAAUAAGAGGAGGUCCAACUCCAUUAGGGUUUUCUAACUAACAAGCAAACAAACAUACCUAAGUAUAAUUAACCUGGCUAAAAUAUGUAUCCUAAAACUACAUUUGAAGCUCUUGCUCCAAAAAAAAAAGAAAGAAUAAACGACUAACAAGCCAGGCUGAUCUAAAGCUGGAGUUGCAGCUCAAUUAUGUUUGCAUCUUCAAGAAAAG